UNGAAUAUCAACCUAGUGUGCACGAGGCGC
rnacentral:piRNA from 1 species